UACGUAGGGGGCAAGCGUUGUCCGGAUUUAUUGGGCGUAAAGAGCGUGUAGGCGGUUUGGUAGGUCCGCUGUGAAAACUCGAGGCUCAACCUCGAGACGCCGGUGGAAACCAUCAGACUAGAGUCCGGAAGAGGAGAGUGGAAUUCCUGGUGUAGCGGUGAAAUGCGUAGAUAUCUGGAGGAACACCGGUGGCGAAGGCGGCAUCCUGGACCAACACUGACACUGAGGAGCGAAAGCCAGGGGAGCAAACGGG
rnacentral:rRNA from 1 species